rnacentral:rRNA from 1 species
GACGAACUGUCCAAACGUUGUUCGGAAUCACUGGGCUUAAAGGGCGCGUAGGCGGCGUUUUUAAGUCGGGGGGUGAAAGCCUGUGGCUCAACCACAGAAUGGCCUUCGAUACUGGGACGCUUGAGUAUGGUAGAGGUUGGUGGAACUGCGAGUGUAGAGGUGAAAUUCGUAGAUAUUCGCAAGAACACCGGUGGCGAAGGCGGCCAACUGGACCAUUACUGACGCUGAGGCGCGAAAGCGUGGGGAGCAAACAGG